UACGUAGGUGGCGAGCGUUGUCCGGAUUUACUGGGCGUAAAGAGCGCGCAGGCGGCUGGUCAAGUCCGAUGUGAAAGCUCCCGGCUUAACUGGGAAAUUGCAUCGGAAACUGAUCGGCUGGAAGGUGGGAGAGGGUAGCGGAAUUCCCGGUGUAGUGGUGAAAUGCGUAGAUAUCGGGAGGAACACCAGUGGCGAAAGCGGCUACCUGGCCUGUUCUUGACGCUGAGGCGCGAAAGCUAGGGGAGCAAACGGG
rnacentral:rRNA from 1 species